CUUCCACCAUUGAGGCAUCCACCCAGAAGUCUCUCUCAACAUACUGGGAUGUGUACCCCUUGAUCACGUUAUCCCAAUCGGCAUCUGUGAAGAGCUCUUCCCUUUCGCUGAUAGCUCCACUUCUUGGCCCAGCUGCCUCCGAGCCAUGCUGCUGCUGCUCCUGCUGCUUGGGUUGUAUUUUCUGGGGGGGUUUGGGCCGAGGUAGAAUUGCUUUGGGGGCUGGAAGGAUGCUGGGCUGUGUCACGGUGGCAGCUG
rnacentral:lncRNA from 1 species